GUAUGAAGCUGCUUCCUGCUCAUCCGGAGCUGUGGGCCUGCCUGCUGGUUCUGUGUGUCUCACAACGUGGUGAGACGGAAGCCGAUGAUCCAGAUGUCUGUGAUGUAGAAAGCAGGGAUCCGGGAAACAUUGAACCAAAGUUUUCUUCGGGGAAGGAAAAUGUCGAGAUGGCUGAAGUGAACGAUAACUUUCGCUGCCUGUUUCACCCAACAAAUGUACUCAACUGCUCGUGGUCAUUCCACACUUUACACGAGGACGCUCAGCUCUUUGUCCAUAUCAGAAUCUGCGACGGCGAUGGCGAGGUUAACCAUACGGACCUUUCGUCUGAGGAGAGAGUCGGAUCCUUGUCUUUCACUCUGCACCACAAUGAGAUGUUGUACGUGAUCCUCCACUUUAACAUAACCCUGCAUGGCAAUUGGACGGUCUACGCCUCAGAAUACAGCAUGGACUUUCUUGAGGUUCUGCCGCCACCCCAAAAUAUCACCGCCUCGUUUAGAGAUGGAAGCCUGUUGGUGACGUGGGAUCUGCCCCAACGUCGCACAGUCUGUAAUGACGACUGCCUUCAAUACCAGCUGGACCUGGGGGACCAGGAAAGUCCCAAAGAGGUGCACGGGACGCUGUCCUACACAGAGACCAAUGCAGACCCCACCUACAACUACAGCGUGAGGCUGAGGACAAGGAAGACCAUCGACUGCCAAGAAUCGUCCCACUGGAGCGUCUGGAGCGACCCCAUAAAGGUGGAACCGUUGGUUUACAGACUCAACACGCUGGUGAUCUUCUCGAUUUCGCUCGGAAUACCCAUGAUCCUCCUGGCCGGGCUGCUGCUGCUACGCCAUCAGAGGGUGUGUAGCGUCCUGUUCCCUCCGAUCCCUCGCCCCCCGCUCAAAUACAAGGGUAUCCUGGAGAAGGGGGACACGUUCAACCUCUGGCACCCUGCGGCGCCGGCUGAGCCGGAGAUCACUAAGGUGUUGGAGACGGAGCAGAAGCCUGAAAAGACAUAAGUCCAACUGUCUGACGAAAAGGUUUCACUGUGAAGAGUGUCCUCCGUCCGUUCAGCGAUAAGCAGAAGUCUGCACAGAUGUUUAGUCGUCGUCUUGUGGACUUUAAUAUAUCGUUAAUUUAAACAAGUGGAACAUUAUUCAGUGAUGAGUCUUCUGGCUGAACUGGCUUGUUAGCUGGUAUUGAAGCAUGGAUUUAUUGUGCUUAUAUUAAAUGUGUGUAAUAAAGUUAAAUAAUAAAGUAAUCUAGUAAAAUACCAAAUGCGUAUUUGAAGUGUUUUCAUUCAGUGGUUCAUGGUUCACUCGCUUUGAGCCUAAAGAAGGAUGACGUGUCAUUUAGCUGACGCUCUCAUCCAAAGCGACUUUGGAACCCGCGGUCGAGCUUUUGCCCAGUGAGCCGCUGAGGGUCGAGUGCCCUGCUCAGGGGCACUUCAACAUGCAUCCCGGCGCGUCCUCUCUCCUCCACGGAGCAAAACACAACAUUAUUACAACGAUUUAAAAAAUGCACCAAUAAGUAAAUUAGAUGAGUCGUAACAUUUUCCUGUUUAACAGGGAAAAGAGUUCAUCUUUCCCUUAAUAGUCAAUCUCUGUCACUCCGUGCACGGAGAUUUAUUUAAGUGAUCAUCUGUCUCUAUAAAGACCCUCUUUGUUUUACUGAAGUAAGUGAAGAGAGAGCAGAAAAGAAAUGAUUCAUCGAAAAAUGAACAAAUUUAGUUUGAAUAUUGAGCCAUGAGCCGUUCAAUGUCGGGAGUUUCGGGGAAGAUGAUGAAACCUUUGAACAUUUAAUAUCCUGGCUGGUUUGAUAGCUCCAUCACUGGAACCAGACUGUCCGCUCUGCCACAUCUUCAUCAUCUUCAUCCAUCCACCACCAAGAGGACCCUCACAUCGGACGUCACA
ensembl:lncRNA